GGGAUUCAGUCUGUAGUUGCCGUCGUUGUGCUGGUCGGGGUUUUUCCCGGAGCCGCCCGAUCGCGACGGACAGACGCAUUUGUCUCUCGCUCUGAGGACGCCGCAGCCCGUGGGGGAGUGAAAGCGUGACUGCCUGAAAGGCGAGGAAAGGCAGGUGGCCGGGGGCGAGCUUAGUGCUCUUCGCCGGUUGUUAGCCGUCUCGUCGGUGGCGAGUCUCCCCACGGACGUGACACGUCUCCUCUUCAUCUGGACUUGCAGUCGCGAGCGAAGGCAACCGCGCGGCCGCACUCCCCGGGAGUGGGCCAGCGGCCGUCGGUGACUGAGGACCAGUCGGAGGUCGGAGGUUAGCGGCGAGUUUUUCGGUCGCCCGCCCGACCCGUCUUGAAACACGGACCAAGGAGUCUAACAUGUGCGCGAGUCGACGGGUCUCGAAUAAGCCCGGAGGCGCAACGAAAGCGAAGUUCGGCCCCGCCGAACGUGUCGGGAUGGGCGCACCGACGACCUGUCUUGUGCGACUUGUCGCUAUGGCGGAGUCUGAGCGUACACGUUGGGACCCGAAAGAUGGUGAACUAUGCCC
rnacentral:rRNA from 1 species